rnacentral:rRNA from 1 species
CCUACGGGAGGCAGCAGUGAGGAAUAUUGGUCAAUGGUCGGGAGACUGAACAAGCCAAGCCGCGGGAGGGAGGAAGGUACAGAGUAUCGUAAACCUCUUUUGUCAGGGAAAAAAGGCGGGGAGGUGUCCCCGGAUGAGUGUACCUGAAGAAAAAGCAUCGGCUAACUCCGUGCCAGCAGCCGCGGUAAUACGGAGGAUGCGGGCGUUAUCCGGAUUUAUUGGGUUUAAGGGGGGCGCAGGGGGUCUGUUAAGUCAGCGGUCAAAGCCGGGGGCCAAACGCCGACCCGCCGUUGAUACUGGCAGUCUCGAGUUGGAGAGAAGUAUGCGGAAUGCGCGGUGUAGCGGUGAAAUGCAUAGAUAUCGCGCAGAACUCCGAUUGCGAAGGCAGCAUGCCGGCU